UACAGAGGGUGCGAGCGUUGUUCGGAAUUAUUGGGCGUAAAGGGCGCGUAGGCGGCGCCACAAGUCACUUGUGAAAACUCUGGGCUCAACUCAGAGCCUGCAAGCGAAACUGUGGUGCUGGAGUAUGGGAGAGGUGCGUGGAAUUCCCGGUGUAGCGGUGAAAUGCGUAGAUAUCGUAAGGAAGACCAGUGGCGAAGGCGGGUCUCUGGACAGUUCCUGACGCUGAGGCACGAAGGCCAGGGGAGCAAACGGG
rnacentral:rRNA from 1 species